rnacentral:lncRNA from 1 species
CCCUUUUACAAAAAUAUAAAAAAAUUUCAAAAAAUUUGAACCAACCGUUUUAUCAGAAAUAUUACACUGGUUAUAUAGCAGUUUGACAAACACUUAUUUUGAUCAUUGAGAAGCUUAAUAUUCCCUUAACAACACAACGUAAUUAAAACGUUUAGCUGAUUUUACAGAGUUAUCUCCCUGUAGUGUUAGGUACCACCUUAAAU